AGAUUUUCAAAGCUAAUAUACAGUCUAACCUAACCUAACUUAUCCAAUUAUAUUAGGAAGUGAAUAGAUAAAAAUGAAACGUUUUUGUGUUUUAUUAUCAUUUGUUGUUGUAAAUGUUUUAGCAGAUACAAAUGAACUUAUAGAUAUCUGGUGGAGUGCGGUGGUUAACACAAAUAAACAAAUCCAGCGAGUGCAAUGUCGUGAUGUGCGUUUGAUACCGGUAAUUAAACAUUUUGUUGCUGGAGAUAAAUCGAUGACGGAUUUGUCGUUGAUGUUUAGUGGACCAUCUAAAAUAGGUGGCCCCAAUUCCAACUAUGAAACACUGCAACAUAGCUUAGAUUUAGAAAUUGAAUUACAAACAGCCAUAACUACCUUGUUAGGUGUUCCUGUCCCUGAAGAAGGUAGAGGUCUAUUACGUACUGCAAUGAAAAAAGUGGGUUGUGCAUGUGGUUCGACUGAUUAUAAAAAUACGCAUAGUAUGAAAAUUAUGAAUGAGAGAAAAAACCUAUUUCGUGAUGCUACAAAACUGUCUAUCAUUUCUACAUUAAGACCAGACCAUGAAGAUUUCGGAAAUUGUAACCUGAUGUGUCGGUUGAAAGGUCUGUACAGAAGUAUAAUAACUGACUUCUAUAGAUAUUUGGUAAUAAAAGCUGAAGUUAUUGGUGAUCAGUGUCGUCUGACUCGUCCUGACAGAAAAACAAUCACCUUCAAUUGCUUUGGAGACUUAAAGGAUCACAUUCGGGAUGACAAUUGGGAAUUCAUUUCCGAUUAUUAAUCAUGUACAUUAAAUUCUUUUGAGAAAAACAUGUUAAGCAAUUUGUAGACCUUAGAAAUAAAAAAAAUAUUCUUGAUAAUGUUAAGACGAAACAUCAUUUGGUUUUGGUAACGAUACAAUAGAUAGGCAAAACAAGUAUAUGCAUGUAAACUAUAAAGAAGAACAGGAAUGAAACUUUUUUAUAAUAACAACUGACUGAAGUGAAAAAAUAUUCUAUUUGUGACUUGAUUGAAUAAAAUAUAAACACAUUUAAUGGUAUUAAUUAAUUUCUGCGACGAGUCACAAACCAAUCACUUUAAAAAGGCGGUUUUAACAAAUAAGUUCACAAGAGUUCAUCCAGAAAUUCA